rnacentral:rRNA from 1 species
CAGUCGCCGCGGUAAUACGUAGGGGGCAAGCGUUGUCCGGAAUUAUUGGGCGUAAAGCGCGCGCAGGCGGUCAUUUAAGUCUGGUGUUUAAUCCCGGGGCUCAACCCCGGAUCGCACUGGAAACUGGGUGACUUGAGUGCAGAAGAGGAGAGUGGAAUUCCACGUGUAGCGGUGAAAUGCGUAGAUAUGUGGAGGAACACCAGUGGCGAAGGCGACUCUCUGGUCUGUAACUGACGCUGAGGAGCGAAAGCGUGGGGAGCGAACAGGAUUAGAUACCCCCGUAGUCCCUGUCUCUUAUACC